CAUCACCAAGAUUGAUCCCAUAUGGUGUCUACAAAGAGGAAGGUUUGUUUAGUUUCUACGAUGGAAGAAAUUUCAUCUAAGGUCCUAAUGACAGUUCCAGAACUAAUCUGUCAUUUGUUUCCAAGAUGUUGGAAGAGGUGUCUCACUCCAUUCUCACCCUUCAAGCUGGCCUCUCAGAAUGUCAGUGGGGAUUUCCAGAAGCUUCACCUAUUAGCCAUGCAUUGAUCUGGAAUCUGAGUGUUUGCUUCUAAAGUGAUGUACUGCCACAGAGGAUCUUCAUUGUUUGGCCGACUGUGUUUAGAGAAGCCAGGAAAGCCCAGCUGCAAGAAGGAAGGUUUGUCUGGCUCUCCUAAUUGCUUGCCCAGUUACCGGAGCAUUACAGCUCAUGCCAAUGGCCACACUAUUGAAGAGCCAGCCAAAAAUGGACAUGAAAGGAGAAAGGACACAUAAAAGCAAUUCUGCUCUAGUAAACUGCUUCAUGGCGUUCAAGGAGGGGAAAGGCAAACAACUCAAAAUACAACCUUAAAAUGUGCUCAGCAAGAAACAAACUGCACACUGGGGGCCUCCGGAACUUUGUUCGGAUGCAAAGUUCAGUUAUACGCUCGACUAAUGAGUUACUAGAGCCCAGGCUGAGUUGGAAGAGAAUAAAUACUCUUGCCCUAUUGAGUUCAGCUCUGAAAAAGAUUUAUCAUAUAUCCGAUGGAUUUGCCACAUGUCGAGAAAGACUUACUUUAAUUUCAUGAAUUCUUUUCCUUUUUCUAUCCACACAUAAAAAAUAUGUAAUUGUGGUGAUGGGAAAAUAUCUGCAACAAUUUUAACACAUGUGAGAUAGCCCAAGAGGUGUAUCAUAUUUAGAUGGUUUCAGAAUUUCAUUAAUCUACCUUCUAGGAAUGUGAUAUUUUACAGAUUGUACUUUUGUACAGUACAAAGACAGGCAGCUAAUUCUUAACAGAAACUUAAAAGCCAUCUCUCUUUUUCCAACAUGCUCCUCACAUUUCUUUAGUUGUUCAAACACAGAAAAGUAACUUAUCAGAUGCUCAGCUCCUGGUUUCUUAUCCAGGUCCCCUUCAGAAAGUAAGUAAUCUCUACUUGAAUAAAUUUACAAGAGACAGGAUUCAGGGCCAGAGAUCAUAUUAAUUGACUGGGCAAGAAUGGCACCUGUUCAGUUCCUCCUUGAUAGAUUUACUAUAAAAACUUCGGUUUCAAAGAUAUAAAAUAUAUAUCACCGAAUUGAAAUAUCUGUGCAGGGCAUAUCAGACAAAUUCCUGCAAUGAAUUUCCAGGAUGACCAUGUACAGCUGCCCCCUUUACCUAAAUAUUAAAUAAAAAUGCCAUUCCUCUAGGCAAAAACAUC
rnacentral:lncRNA from 10 species